rnacentral:rRNA from 1 species
CAGCCGCCACGGUAAUACGUAGGGUGCGAGCGUUAAUCGGAAUUACUGGGCGUAAAGCGUGCGCAGGCGGCUUUGCAAGACAGAUGUGAAAUCCCCGGGCUCAACCUGGGAACUGCAUUUGUGACUGCAAAGCUAGAGUGCGGCAGAGGGAGAUGGAAUUCCGCGUGUAGCAGUGAAAUGCGUAGAUAUGCGGAGGAACACCGAUGGCGAAGGCAAUCUCCUGGGCCUGCACUGACGCUCAUGCACGAAAGCGUGGGGAGCAAACAGGAUUAGAUACCCCUGUAGUCCCUGUCUCUUAUAC